rnacentral:rRNA from 1 species
GGUGAUAGCGUGCCUUUUGUAGAAUGAACCGGCGAGUUACGAUUACGUGCAAGGUUAAGUCGAUGAGACGGAGCCGUAGCGAAAGCGAGUCUGAAUAGGGCGCAUGAGUACGUGGUCGUAGACCCGAAACCAGGUGAUCUACCCAUGUCCAGGGUGAAGUUCAGGUAACACUGAAUGGAGGCCCGAACCGACUCACGUUGAAAAGUGAGCGGAUGAGGUGUGGGUAGGGGUGAAAUGCCAAUCGAACCUGGAGAUAGCUGGUUCUCUCCGAAAUAGCUUUAGGGCUAGCCUCAUGUGUUAGAGUCUUGGAGGUAGAGCACUGAUUGGACUAGGGGUCCUCAUCGGAUUACCGAAUUCAGUCAAACUCCGAAUGCCAAAGACUUAUCCAUGGGAGUCAGACUGCGAGUGAUAAGAUCCGUAGUCAAGAGGGAAACAGCCCAGACCGCCAGCUAAGGUCCCCAAGUAUACGUUAAGUGGAAAAGGAUGUGGAGUUGCUUAGACAACCAGGAUGUUGGCUUAGAAGCAGCCACCAUUUAAAGAGUGCGUAAUAGCUCACUGGUCGAGUGACUCUGCGCCGAAAAUGUACCGGGGCUAAACGUAUCACCGAAGCUGCGGACUGUUCUUACGAACAGUGGUAGGAGAGCGUUCUAAGUGCGUCGAAGCUAGACCGUAAGGACUGGUGGAGCGCUUAGAAGUGAGAAUGCCGGUAUGAGUAGCGAAAGAAGGGUGAGAAUCCCUUCCACCGAAUGCCUAAGGUUUCCUGAGGAAGGCUCGUCCGCUCAGGGUUAGUCGGGACCUAAGCCGAGGCCGAAAGGCGUAGGCGAUGGAUAACAGGUUGAUAUUCCUGUACCACCUCCACUCCGUUUGAGCAAUGGGGGGACGCAGAAGGAUAGGGUAAGCGCGCUGUUGGAUAUGCGCGUCUAAGCAGCAAGGCUGAGAAGUAGGCAAAUCCGCUUCUCAUUAAGGCUGAGCUGUGAUAGCGAGGGAAAUAUAGUACCGAAGUUCCUGAUUUCACACUGCCAAGAAAAGCCUCUAGCGAGGAGAAUGGUGCCCGUACCGCAAACCGACACAGGUAGGCGAGGAGAGAAUCCUAAGGUGAGCGAGAGAACUCUGGUUAAGGAACUCGGCAAAAUGACCCCGUAACUUCGGGAGAAGGGGUGCUCUGUUAGGGUGUUAAAGCCCGAGAGAGCCGCAGUGAAUAGGCCCAGGCGACUGUUUAGCAAAAACACAGGUCUCUGCGAAGCCGUAAGGCGAAGUAUAGGGGCUGACGCCUGCCCGGUGCUGGAAGGUUAAGGGGAGAGGUUAGCGCAAGCGAAGCUUUGAACCGAAGCCCCAGUAAACGGCGGCCGUAACUAUAACGGUCCUAAGGUAGCGAAAUUCCUUGUCGGGUAAGUUCCGACCCGCACGAAAGGCGUAACGAUCUGGGCACUGUCUCAACCAGAGACUCGGUGAAAUUAUAGUACCUGUGAAGAUGCAGGUUACCCGCGACAGGACGGAAAGACCCCGUGGAGCUUUACUGUAGCCUGAUAUUGAAUUUUGGUACAGCUUGUACAGGAUAGGUAGGAGCCUGAGAAGCCGGAGCGCUAGCUUCGGUGGAGGCGUCGGUGGGAUACUACCCUGGCUGUAUUGAAAUUCUAACCCGCAGCCCUUAUCGGGCUGGGAGACAGUGUCAGGUGGGCAGUUUGACUGGGGCGGUCGCCUCCUAAAGAGUAACGGAGGCGCCCAAAGGUUCCCUCAGAAUGGUUGGAAAUCAUUCGCAGAGUGUAAAGGCACAAGGGAGCUUGACUGCGAGACCUACAAGUCGAGCAGGGACGAAAGUCGGGCUUAGUGAUCCGGUGGUUCCGCAUGGAAGGGCCAUCGCUCAACGGAUAAAAGCUACCCCGGGGAUAACAGGCUUAUCUCCCCCAAGAGUCCACAUCGACGGGGAGGUUUGGCACCUCGAUGUCGGCUCAUCGCAUCCUGGGGCUGUAGUCGGUCCCAAGGGUUGGGCUGUUCGCCCAUUAAAGCGGUACGCGAGCUGGGUUCAGAACGUCGUGAGACAGUUCGGUCCCUAUCCGUCGUGGGCGCAGGAAAUUUGAGAGGAGCUGUCCUUAGUACGAGAGGACCGGGAUGGACGCACCGCUGGUGUACCAGUUGUCUUGCCAAAGGCAUAGCUGGGUAGCUACGUGCGGACGGGAUAAGUGCUGAAAGCAUCUAAGCAUGAAGCCCCCCUCAAGAUGAGAUUUCCUUUU